rnacentral:rRNA from 1 species
GGCGGCAGGCCUAACACAUGCAAGUCGAACGGUAACAUUUCUAGCUUGCUAGAAGAUGACGAGUGGCGGACGGGUGAGUAAUGCUUGGGAACUUGCCUUUGCGAGGGGGAUAACAGUUGGAAACGACUGCUAAUACCGCAUAAUGUCUUCGGACCAAACGGGGCUUCGGCUCCGGCGCAAAGAGAGGCCCAAGUGAGAUUAGCUAGUUGGUAAGGUAACGGCUUACCAAGGCGACGAUCUCUAGCUGUUCUGAGAGGAAGAUCAGCCACACUGGGACUGAGACACGGCCCAGACUCCUACGGGAGGCAGCAGUGGGGAAUAUUGCACAAUGGGGGAAACCCUGAUGCAGCCAUGCCGCGUGUGUGAAGAAGGCCUUCGGGUUGUAAAGCACUUUCAGUUGUGAGGAAAAGUUAGUAGUUAAUACCUGCUAGCCGUGACGUUAACAACAGAAGAAGCACCGGCUAACUCCGUGCCAGCAGCCGCGGUAAUACGGAGGGUGCGAGCGUUAAUCGGAAUUACUGGGCGUAAAGCGCACGCAGGCGGUUUGUUAAGCUAGAUGUGAAAGCCCCGGGCUCAACCUGGGAUGGUCAUUUAGAACUGGCAGACUAGAGUCUUGGAGAGGGGAGUGGAAUUCCAGGUGUAGCGGUGAAAUGCGUAGAUAUCUGGAGGAACAUCAGUGGCGAAGGCGACUCCCUGGCCAAAGACUGACGCUCAUGUGCGAAAGUGUGGGUAGCGAACAGGAUUAGAUACCCUGGUAGUCCACACCGUAAACGCUGUCUACUAGCUGUGUGUGUCUUUAAGACGUGCGUAGCGAAGCUAACGCGCUAAGUAGACCGCCUGGGGAGUACGGCCGCAAGGUUAAAACUCAAAUGAAUUGACGGGGGCCCGCACAAGCGGUGGA